GAACGUUCACGCUUUUCAUAAAUCAGUCCCGCACAAUCAGUUUUUAACUGUAAUAAAGGUAUUGUUUCAGUAGAUUUCUGCACCACAUGACUAGUUUCAGAUUCGGUGGUGAAUUUUUUUUCUUUUGCAAUUGGGUUCUUGUUUCAAAAGGUUUUUAGAACACAUCUUUUGUUUCACAAAGAAAAAAAUGGUUUGAUGGUCAAGUUUUUUUUUUUUUCGUAACAGGGUUUUGUUUCAGAAACAUAGUCCGAGUUGCAACACUGGAGGAGUGCCCGACAUUAGAGAGUGAGUGAUCAGACAUUGUAACAUGAGUCAUAUUUCAGAAACAUAACUUUAGUUAUAGAAAACGACGAAGGAGCGACUGGUGUGAGAGGUUGUCAUCGUCGUGAAAAUUUUCUGUAACAAGACCUAUUUUGUGGAAGUUUUGGCAACGCCAACUUUGUUGUG
rnacentral:lncRNA from 1 species